CCGAGACACAGCGUUAAGAGUUGGUGCAGCUGAGGGGCGCCCUGUGGCUCAGUUGGUUAAGCGACUGACUUCAGCUCGGGUCAUGAUCUCGCCAUCUAAUAAGGAAGUUUUCUCUUAUGAUACCUGUGACGUAUAGAAAUAUGAUAAAAUAUUCCUUUGCAAACAAAUUGAAACCUCUAACUUGUCUCCCUACAUGAACCCUCCAGAAUUCAGAAACUCUCAAGAGUGCAUGCACAAAUGGGGGAGGAGCAGAGUGAGAAGAAGAGAGAGAAUCCCAAGCAGGCUCCAUGCUGUCAGUGCCAAGUCCAACGGAGGGCUCAGUCCUAUGAACCAUGAGAUCAUGACCUGAGCCAGAAAUCAAGAGUUGGACACCCAACCGACUGAGCCACCCAGGUGCCCCACAAUUUGUUUAAUUUUCCCUUUAUUUCUUUCAUUUGUCUAACUGCACUACUAUGGUUUUCUUUAUGUUAUUCAAUAUAGUAAUGAUAGUGAGCAUA